rnacentral:rRNA from 1 species
AAGCGUUACUCGGAAUUACUGGGCGUAAAGCGUGCGUAGGUGGUGAGUUAAGUCUGUCGUGAAAGCCCCGGGCUCAACCUGGGAAUGGCGAUGGAUACUGGCUCGCUAGAGUGCGGUAGAGGAGAGUGGAAUUCCCGGUGUAGCAGUGAAAUGCGUAGAGAUCGGGAGGAACAUCAGUUGCGAAGGCGGCUCUCUGGACCAGCACUGACACUGAGGCACGAAAGCGUGGGGAGCAAACAGGAUUAGAUACCCUGGUAGUCCACGCCCUAAACGAUGCGAACUGGACGUUGGGAGCAAUCAGGCUCUCAGUGUCGAAGCUAACGCGUUAAGUUCGCCGCCUGGGAGUACGGUCGCAAGACUG